rnacentral:tRNA from 1 species
GCUCCUGUAGCUCAGUGGUAGAGCGCCUCACUAGUAAUGAGAAGGUCGUUUGUUCGACUCAAACCUGGAGCUC